AUGUUUGUCCUAAGAGAAGCAGUGUGGAAGAUACUGCUUGGAUGGCUACUGAAUUCCCAGUGAUUCUGCAUUCCUUGGAAAUGGGCCUAGUGACCAGAGACAUCCUAAACUCAAAUGGCAGGGAAAAAAAAACACUGCCAUCUAUUCUGACCUCUGAAGUCACCAUGCCCAUUAACUGAGGAUGAAGAAGACAGAAGGAAUACUGAAUGUCUGAAGAGAGAGAAAACGUUAUAAAAUUAUCCUUUCAAAAGAUGGAAGAAUAAAUUCACUUGGCAAAUGUGAUAUGGACUCACCUGAGGUUUGAAGUCAUCCAAAAAGAAACCAAAAAUCAUGGUUUUGAGAUUUUGUCCAAAUUCCUUCAUUAUCUCAGCACUGCACUAGGAUACUAAUGAGUUUUCGGGAACAGAAAACCCAAUGGAAUAUUAAAAUUGGAAAGAAGAGCUCCUUGAGUUAAUUUCACUGAAGUGCAUCACAACACACUGCACUGUUGUAAGAAUGAAUAUUCAAAUAGGAAUCCAGUCAUGGGAAAAUUAAUUAAGGAAAAUGUUAUUGCUAAUAUUUCUUUUUAUGAAUAUACAUAUGCGGAGACACACAACCAUCUAUUGGCUCCACACUGACAAUAAUAAAAGCCAAACAUUUAUGAGAGUCAAAUGUUCAAGAUCUCUUGCUGAGUUGGUGUUAAAAGAUUUUAAAUAAAAAAAUUAUGAUUCCAGAGAAUUGUUUCUAAAAGACAAAUCAUGUCAUGUCACUCCUUUGCUUAAAAUUCUUCAAUGGAUCCAAAACAUUCUUCAGAAUAAAGUCAAAAUCAUCAGGGAAUUCAAGGCCCUUCACUAUGCGGCUCAUGCAUACUUCCCCUCAUUUCACCUACUGCAUUCUCCUAAAUACAUUGUGCUCUUGCAAAUCUCUGUCUUUGAAC
rnacentral:lncRNA from 10 species